rnacentral:rRNA from 1 species
AGAGUUGAUCCUGGCUCAGGAUGAACGCUGGCGGCGUGCUUAACACAUGCAAGUCGAACGGAGCUUUUAUGAACAAGACUUCGGUCAAGUGAAUUCUAAGCUUAGUGGCGGACGGGUGAGUAACGCGUGAGCAACCUGCCUUUCAGAGGGGGAUAACGUUUGGAAACAGACGCUAAUACCGCAUGACAUAGUUUUCUCGCAUGUGAGGACUAUCAAAGGAGCAAUCCGCUGAAAGAUGGGCUCGCGUCCGAUUAGGUAGUUGGUGAGGUAACGGCCCACCAAGCCGACGAUCGGUAGCCGGACUGAGAGGUUGAACGGCCACAUUGGGACUGAGACACGGCCCAGACUCCUACGGGAGGCAGCAGUGGGGAAUAUUGCACAAUGGGCGAAAGCCUGAUGCCAGCAACGCCGCGUGAGGGAAGACGGUUUUCGGAUUGUAAACCUCUGUCUUUGGUGAAGAAGAAGUGACAUUAGCCGAGGAGGAAGCCACGGCUAACUACGUGCCAGCCGCUGC